rnacentral:rRNA from 1 species
GACGAACGCUGGCGGCGUGCUUAACACAUGCAAGUCGAACGGAAAGGCCCUGCUUUUGUGGGGUGCUCGAGUGGCGAACGGGUGAGUAACACGUGAGUAACCUGCCCUUGACUUUGGGAUAACUUCAGGAAACUGGGGCUAAUACCGGAUAGGAGCUCCUGCUGCAUGGUGUGCGUUGGAAAGUUUCGGCGGUGGUGGAUGGACUCGCGGCUUAUCCGCUUGUUGGUGUGGUAGGUGCUUACCAAGGCUUUGACGGGUAGCCUGCAUGGGAGGGGGACCGGCCACAAUGGGACUGAGAUACGGCCCAGAAGCCUACGGGAGGCAGCAGGGGGGAAUAUGGCACAAUGGGCGGACGCCUGAUGCAGCAACGCCGCGUGCGGGAUGACGGCCUUCGGGUGGUAAACCGCUUUCGACUGUGACGAAGCGGGAGUGACGGUAAUGGGUAAAGAAGCAACGGCUAACUACGUG